UACGGAGGGUGCGAGCGUUGUCCGGAUUUAUUUGGGUUUAAAGGGUGCGUAGGUGGGUUAAUAAGUCAGUGGUGAAAUACGGUUGCUCAACAAUCGAGGUGCCAUUGAUACUGUUAAUCUUGAAACAAGUGGAGGUUGCCGGAAUGGAUGGUGUAGCGGUGAAAUGCAUAGAUAUCAUCCAGAACACCGAUUGCGAAGGCAGGUGGCUACGAUUUAUUUGACACUGAGGCACGAAAAGCAUGGGGGAGCAAAACAGG
rnacentral:rRNA from 1 species